GGCCCAGGGUGGGAGGUGAGGCGGGGGCUUCAGGUUUCAUUCCCCGGAGCCUUCCGUAUCCCCCAAGCAGCAUCUCUGUAGGAAGCAUCUGGUCAAGAACAUCCCAGGCCUGUGGGUGUCUCCAUGACACUCAGAGGUUAAAUACCCUACUCCCUGGAGCUCCCUUCUCACCCUGGAAGAGGACGUGGCCAUGGCUGGAAUGAGUGUGAGGGGCAACCAGAUUCCUCUAGCAUGGAUCUGGGGCCUCAGUGGCACCAGCAUCAGAGAAACAGAGAAACAGAUUUGGCUCUAGAACAAAAUCUAGAGCUGGGUCUGGGUCUGGCUUCCCUAAUGGGAACUCCUGCCCAUGAAGCUGAUGUGUGGCCAUCUCUCAUCUUGGGACAGAUGGACAUUCACCGCAGUGAAGAGGGAUGAGCACAGGCAGAGCUGGCUUCCCGGAGCUGGCUCUGCCAGGCACUUGCUGGGCGUCCUCGGGAAGGUCAAUUAACGUCCCCAGACUUCAGUAUCCUUGUUUGUAAAAGAGCGUUAACAGCAUCUACUUCUGGAGGUGGUUUUGAGGGCUCAGCGAGAUGAUGAUGGUAUGAUGAAGAUGGUGAUGGUGGUGACCAUGAUGGUGAUGGUAACAGCUGACAGGCAUGGAAUCCUGGGAACCCUUCUGGGCACUGUUCGGUCUCCUCUUCAGGAUGGAGGCGUUCACCUUGCAGCUUCCUGGCCUGCUGAGCGCCUCCCUGGAAUUGCCUUCAGCCUAAGCCAGGGCCACACCCCUUUCCUGGGUGUCACCCACCUCAAGGGUGAUGGAUCCUGCCCCUGAGCUCCAGUCUGAGGCCACAGCAGAGCAGGUCCACAUCUCCCUCUACCCAGUCCUGUCCCCAUCGCCUCUCAACAGGCUUCCCUGCUGAGCCUCCUGCGUCCAUCUCAGGAGGAAUCCAACCCAGGACAGCCCUUUCCCGGCCCUGUCUCCUGUGGUCCUCCUAACAGCCCUUUGAAGGGGACACCACAGUUAAACCAUUUACACACAUGCAAACUGAGGGGUACAGAGAUUAAACCUCUGUUGCAGCCCCCCGGGGAGGAAGUGGCAGGACUUGGAUUGGAACACAGGGCACCUGGCUCCAGAACCGAGCUCUCAGCCGCCAUGGGGAGCCCGGCCAGCGCUGGGCAGGCGGGCAAGGGGGCAGGAGGUAGUAAACAUCCCUUCCUGCCCUGCCGCUGUGGCUGAGGGUGACUCUGGGCCAUUGCCACCUACUCUGAGGCCCCGUGUUCCCCGAUUGUGCCAGCAGCCAGGAUAGUAGCAGCACCAGCAGCGCCUCCAGCCCCACGUGGAAAACAACACCUCCCGCGGCCGCCCGCCCCCUCCCCAGCUGCCGAUGUAACACUGUGGUUCUGUGCCAGGGCGGAGCUCUGCCUGCUGCACCUCCUGUGGACCAUGCAGCUGCAAAAACUGCUGGGGGAAGAGAUUUGCCACCUGAUCUCCCCUCACCCUGAGAUCUGAGACCUUGAAAGGCCAGAGACCCUGCAGCACCCAGGUGCUGGCCAAGCCUGGGGUGUGGCAAGCAGUCCUGAGCGAGUCUAGGUAUCUCCACCAACGACUCAGGAUUCCAGGGAUGGGCAGUGGACCCCUAAGGUCCCUUCCAGAGCUGCUGUUGUGAAGUUCACGUCCAUGCAGAUGUCCCCCAGGGCUUUUGAGUCUCCCUCCCGCACACCCUCCGGAUGGCCAGAAAGGCCUUAUACACGGGGUCAGAGCUUUGCAUGUAUGGCCAUGACAAUGCACCAGGGCUGGCAGGACCAUCUUCCCGUGUCACAAGAUAAACAAAGGCACAGAGAGUGGGAGGGACAUGCCUCAAGUUAUUCAGUCUUGAGAUCUCCCCACUUUUAAUCUACAGAUGAAAAUGUGUAUGCUGCUGACAAUCAGCAUUAAGAGAGGGCUUCGAAACCAUCCUGUCCUGUUCAUUUGCUUGACAGAUAAGGAACGGGGAGGCCUGGAGUCCCCCUCUUUCCCCCAAGUUGUACAACCCCCAGCAGCGGAGCUGGGGCCAGGGCUCUGUCUGGGCUUCAUUCAAUUACUCUUGGUUGGGUGCUUUUCAAAUUUCAUGCCCUCAAUGGUUCCCAGUUAAGAUUAAAACUUAAACCACUACUGAGGAGGUCAAUGCUGCAAUAACCUUAGGGACAAUUGGUUCCCUGCCUCUGAUUUCCUGUUCAGGGGAUGGGGAUGGAGCUGUCACGGAGGCAGCAUGGCAGUCUGGGGUGUACACGCUGGAGACUGCAUUUAUUUUCCCAUGGGUAGCACAGGCAGCCCAGGGAGGGAGGGUGAGGGACAAAGAGAUGUGUGUAUUCUGGCAAAUUUGGGGAAUUAACUCUGAGGUUGUUCCAAGGAGAAAAUGAUGUUUUGAAUCAGGAGUUAUUAUCCCUCUGAGCUCACUGCCUUUUAAAGAAUACCUUGUUUACUUAACGGUUCUGCUUACAGAUUUAUUUAUACCUGGCUCACUUAGAAAAAGAAUCUGAAGUGGCUAAUUAUUCAAUUAGAUUGUGAGCUCCUCCAGGGCAGGAAAUGCCUUCAUUAACUCUGCUCCUCUGAAAGGCUAACUCCUGCCCACCCCUGCCCACCUCUGCCCCGGGGCCUCCCAGGCUGCAUUCUCGGGGUCUCUGUGCAUUUUAAGAACAUUUCUGUCUUUGUUCUCCAACUGCGAGCUCAGUGGGUGGGAUCAGGGGCUACCCAUAAUUACAUCUCAGUGUCUCAUCCAUUCACCUGUCUGUGCAUCCAUUCAGUCAUUUAUCCAUCAACAAAUCAAAUAUCCAUCCAUCCCAACAUCCAUCCAUCCACAUAUCUGUCUGGCCAACUAUUCAUCUGUCUCUACAAUCACCCAUUCCCACAGCCAUCCACAGCCAUCCACCAUCUAUCUAGUCCUUCAAAACCCCAGAGAGUUGCACAACUACAGCUAAAUGGAAUAGACGACAAGGAGUUGUCCUUUGGCCUGGGCCACACUUUGUUCCAAGCACUGCACCGACUUGCAGAGAGUUUUUUUGAUGAAGCUGGGCCAGCCCUGGGCAUCUCCAGCCAUCUGGGCUCCCUCCUACCCCAUACUCUUUACCCUGAUACUGAUGAGCUGCUUCCUGUCCUCCCCGCGGGGCUGGAGUUCCUUGGGGCCAGCACCUUUCCUCAUUUACCUCUUUAGGAACCUAAGAAUCCUUAUAAAGUGGAUGAAGGAAAAAGUCAAUCCCCACACAAAUACUGCAAUAGCUCAGGGGUUGGAAUCAGGAGGCCAGGGGAUUCAGCUUGACUUGAACCUUGUGCGAUGGAGUGACAAACGUUGAGCAAGGGACUGUUUCCUGGGUACGUUCUAAGCACUUUAUUUGCACUAAUUGAAUUCUUUCUCUGAGGUAGGUCCAUUAUUACGCUCAUUUUACAGAUGAUGGAAUAGAGGUAGAGCAGCCUGCCAAGGUGCACAGUUAGAAGAGGUGGAGCUGGGAUUACCCCGCGACUGCUUCUGCUCGUUGCCCUGGGAACGGGUACGGGACCACAGGGUAAGAGGGAGUAUUCCAGGCUCAGGCAACUGGCAAGCCAAAACUAUCCCCGAGGUGCUGAGGAUUGAACCCAGGGCCUCAUACAUGCAAGGCGAGUGCUCUACCACUGAGCCAUAACCCCAGCCUCCUCAUGAUUCUUCCUUUUUCACGUCCGUUAAGCCAGUAUCGUGUGGAUGACAUCAAGGUCUGCAACAGGGCUACUGGGACCACAUUGGAGGAGCUUCUUUUUUUUUUCUGUGUAUUUCUGGAGGAGCUUCUGAAUGCCUGAAUGGCUGAACAAAGUGAAAGGAAUCCUGGGAAACCACUUCCUAGGCAACCCUAUGGAAACAAGAAACCCAAGCUGACAGAUUCCUGUGGACAUUUGAGCCCUGAGUUCCAGCUGUCCCUGAAACCAACCUACUCCUGGAGUUUCCCAAAGCCAACCACGGGGUCCGGGGUGCCCUCGACAGGAGGCAGGGAGAAGUGAGAGCCACCGUGGGCUGCAAGGGGGGCAGAACCCCAGCCUCAAAGCCCUGAGCUUCCAAAUCAGCCUCUCAACUGGCGA